rnacentral:rRNA from 1 species
UUAAGCGACUAAGCGUACACGGUGGAUGCCCUGGCAGUCAGAGGCGAUGAAGGACGUGCUAAUCUGCGAUAAGCGUCGGUAAGGUGAUAUGAACCGUUAUAACCGGCGAUUUCCGAAUGGGGAAACCCAGUGUGAUUCGUCACACUAUCAUUAACUGAAUCCAUAGGUUAAUGAGGCGAACCGGGGGAACUGAAACAUCUAAGUACCCCGAGGAAAAGAAAUCAACCGAGAUUCCCCCAGUAGCGGCGAGCGAACGGGGAGGAGCCCAGAGCCUGAAUCAGUGUGUGUGUUAGUGGAAGCGUCUGGAAAGGCGCGCGAUACAGGGUGACAGCCCCGUACACAAAAAUGCACAUAUUGUGAGCUCGAUGAGUAGGGCGGGACACGUGGUAUCCUGUCUGAAUAUGGGGGGACCAUCCUCCAAGGCUAAAUACUCCUGACUGACCGAUAGUGAACCAGUACCGUGAGGGAAAGGCGAAAAGAACCCCGGCGAGGGGAGUGAAAAAGAACCUGAAACCGUGUACGUACAAGCAGUGGGAGCACGCUUAGGCGUGUGACUGCGUACCUUUUGUAUAAUGGGUCAGCGACUUAUAUUCUGUAGCAAGGUUAACCGAAUAGGGGAGCCGAAGGGAAACCGAGUCUUAACUGGGCGUUAAGUUGCAGGGUAUAGACCCGAAACCCGGUGAUCUAGCCAUGGGCAGGUUGAAGGUUGGGUAACACUAACUGGAGGACCGAACCGACUAAUGUUGAAAAAUUAGCGGAUGACUUGUGGCUGGGGGUGAAAGGCCAAUCAAACCGGGAGAUAGCUGGUUCUCCCCGAAAGCUAUUUAGGUAGCGCCUCGUGAAUUCAUCUCCGGGGGUAGAGCACUGUUUCGGCAAGGGGGUCAUCCCGACUUACCAACCCGAUGCAAACUGCGAAUACCGGAGAAUGUUAUCACGGGAGACACACGGCGGGUGCUAACGUCCGUCGUGAAGAGGGAAACAACCCAGACCGCCAGCUAAGGUCCCAAAGUCAUGGUUAAGUGGGAAACGAUGUGGGAAGGCCCAGACAGCCAGGAUGUUGGCUUAGAAGCAGCCAUCAUUUAAAGAAAGCGUAAUAGCUCACUGGUCGAGUCGGCCUGCGCGGAAGAUGUAACGGGGCUAAACCAUGCACCGAAGCUGCGGCAGCGACGCUGAUGCGUUGUUGGGUAGGGGAGCGUUCUGUAAGCCUGCGAAGGUGUGCUGUGAGGCAUGCUGGAGGUAUCAGAAGUGCGAAUGCUGACAUAAGUAACGAUAAAGCGGGUGAAAAGCCCGCUCGCCGGAAGACCAAGGGUUCCUGUCCAACGUUAAUCGGGGCAGGGUGAGUCGACCCCUAAGGCGAGGCCGAAAGGCGUAGUCGAUGGGAAACAGGUUAAUAUUCCUGUACUUGGUGUUACUGCGAAGGGGGGACGGAGAAGGCUAUGUUGGCCGGGCGACGGUUGUCCCGGUUUAAGCGUGUAGGCUGGUUUUCCAGGCAAAUCCGGAAAAUCAAGGCUGAGGCGUGAUGACGAGGCACUACGGUGCUGAAGCAACAAAUGCCCUGCUUCCAGGAAAAGCCUCUAAGCAUCAGGUAACAUCAAAUCGUACCCCAAACCGACACAGGUGGUCAGGUAGAGAAUACCAAGGCGCUUGAGAGAACUCGGGUGAAGGAACUAGGCAAAAUGGUGCCGUAACUUCGGGAGAAGGCACGCUGAUAUGUAGGUGAAGUCCCUCGCGGAUGGAGCUGAAAUCAGUCGAAGAUACCAGCUGGCUGCAACUGUUUAUUAAAAACACAGCACUGUGCAAACACGAAAGUGGACGUAUACGGUGUGACGCCUGCCCGGUGCCGGAAGGUUAAUUGAUGGGGUUAGCCGCAAGGCGAAGCUCUUGAUCGAAGCCCCGGUAAACGGCGGCCGUAACUAUAACGGUCCUAAGGUAGCGAAAUUCCUUGUCGGGUAAGUUCCGACCUGCACGAAUGGCGUAAUGAUGGCCAGGCUGUCUCCACCCGAGACUCAGUGAAAUUGAACUCGCUGUGAAGAUGCAGUGUACCCGCGGCAAGACGGAAAGACCCCGUGAACCUUUACUAUAGCUUGACACUGAACAUUGAGCCUUGAUGUGUAGGAUAGGUGGGAGGCUUAGAAGUGUGGACGCCAGUCUGCAUGGAGCCGACCUUGAAAUACCACCCUUUAAUGUUUGAUGUUCUAACGUUGACCCGUAAUCCGGGUUGCGGACAGUGUCUGGUGGGUAGUUUGACUGGGGCGGUCUCCUCCUAAAGAGUAACGGAGGAGCACGAAGGUUGGCUAAUCCUGGUCGGACAUCAGGAGGUUAGUGCAAUGGCAUAAGCCAGCUUGACUGCGAGCGUGACGGCGCGAGCAGGUGCGAAAGCAGGUCAUAGUGAUCCGGUGGUUCUGAAUGGAAGGGCCAUCGCUCAACGGAUAAAAGGUACUCCGGGGAUAACAGGCUGAUACCGCCCAAGAGUUCAUAUCGACGGCGGUGUUUGGCACCUCGAUGUCGGCUCAUCACAUCCUGGGGCUGAAGUAGGUCCCAAGGGUAUGGCUGUUCGCCAUUUAAAGUGGUACGCGAGCUGGGUUUAGAACGUCGUGAGACAGUUCGGUCCCUAUCUGCCGUGGGCGCUGGAGAACUGAGGGGGGCUGCUCCUAGUACGAGAGGACCGGAGUGGACGCAUCACUGGUGUUCGGGUUGUCAUGCCAAUGGCACUGCCCGGUAGCUAAAUGCGGAAGAGAUAAGUGCUGAAAGCAUCUAAGCACGAAACUUGCCCCGAGAUGAGUUCUCCCUGACCCUUUAAGGGUCCUGAAGGAACGUUGAAGACGACGACGUUGAUAGGCCGGGUGUGUAAGCGCAGCGAUGCGUUGAGCUAACCGGUACUAAUGAACCGUGAGGCUUAACCUU